GAUGAACGCUAGCUACAGGCUUAACACAUGCAAGUCGCGGGGCAGCAUGGGGGUUGCUUGCAAUCCCCGAUGGCGACCGGCGCACGGGUGAGUAACGCGUAUCCAACCUGCCCUUCACCACGGGAUAACCCGGCGAAAGUCGGACUAAUACCGUAUGUUGUCCAUUGACGGCAUCCGAUUUGGACGAAAGGUUUGGCGGUGAAGGAUGGGGAUGCGUCCGAUUAGCUGGACGGCGGGGUGACGGCCCACCGUGGCGACGAUCGGUAGGGGUUCUGAGAGGAAGGUCCCCCACACUGGAACUGAGACACGGUCCAGACUCCUACGGGAGGCAGCAGUGAGGAAUAUUGGUCACUGGGCGUAAGCCUGAACCAGCCAAGUAGCGUGCAGGAUGACGGCCCUAUGGGUUGUAAACUGCUUUUAUGCGGGGAUAAAGUGGCCCACGUGUGGGUUUUUGCAGGUACCGCAUGAAUAAGGACCGGCUAAUUCCGUG
rnacentral:rRNA from 1 species